rnacentral:tRNA from 1 species
UUCCUGAUGGUCUAGUGGUUAAAACUCUGUGCUCCCAAUGCAGGGGACUUGGGUUUGAUUCCUGGUCAGGGAA